AAAAAAAAAAGUCAUAAGGAAAGAAAGUCUCUUUGCUAAAGCAUCGAACCUUUUUCACCACCAAUUUUCUCUAUCUUCGCUCAGGGAAGAGCGAUAUGAGCUCGCCCUAGUUUCUAGAGUUAUCGUGUAUAAACCGGUGCCGGUGAAGAUGUUUGAUCCCUGAAAGUCCACGAGAAAACGUGGAGAGCAAAAGGAACGAUAAAAUAGAAACGAACGAGGCGUUCAGUGGAAUCGUCGGUUAGAUAAUGGAUUUACGAUAUUUAUUGUUAGAAAAUCAAUCUAUUUGGACAAAUCUUUAAUUAAAAACGAACCUGAAUAAAGAACGAACGGAAUACUGAGAGGUUAUCGUCUUGAAAUAUCUUUGCAAAUAAAUAUCUAUAUUUUUCGCAAUAAUAUAUAUCCGCUUUUCUCAUUUUCUCGAGCAAUGAUUAUUUUAUUUUGCACGUGUACUUUGCCACAUAAGAUCCCUUCACGAAGGAACAUCCAUUUCUUCAGAAUGUACGCACACGCCCUUUGCAAAUAGGCAGUAAACUUCUUUGGAUAUAUGCAUCCCACCCUCCUUGAGUAAAGGCCACUUUUAUAGGCUAUAUACACGGACCUUUUGCGAAUAAAUGUUCCCUUAUCAAGUGCGUACGCUCCAUUAUACAUAAAUACAUAAAUAUAUACAUUUUUUGAAAUGCAUAAUCCCGUAAAUUUGAGAACUCGAGAUUCUAAUAUUAUUAAAAUAUGAUAUAAUACAUAAAAUUUUGCCAAUCUUUAAAUAAUUUUCAUCAAACAUCAAAUAGUAACGAUUAAUCGAAGCGACACAAUCCAAAACCAUAUCUGUCUCUAAAUAAGAGAUUCUUUUUUGAUUAGCUCACUCUCAUUAAAAUAUCUGCCUAUAACACUAUUAUCACAUAUAUAUAUGUAUCUACGUUUUUCCAAGAUUCAUCCCAAAACAGCAAAUUUCAACGAAACGACAUUCGCCUUAUUUUUCGAUGUAGCCAUUUCUCCUUUUCUCGAACGAAUUCGAGCGGCCAGAAACUUCUGUCCCUUUUCAACAAAGAAUUCGAUCUAACUCAAAGUCUCAAGCAAGCGUGGCAACUUGCGAGAGCGUCAGAAUUGAAGCGAAAAUUCCGAAUUCCCUAGAUAUUCGUCGAAUACGUGGCGGCAGACUUGCGAACUAUCGCGAUGAAACCUCUCUCUCUCUCUCUCUCUCUCUCUCACUCUCACCACACACACAGCCAGCUAUUCGCCGCUCAAAAAUUUCGAUCGCGAUUCUCAUGCAGAAGCGCGCUUCGGCAGUGAAAAACUGGAUCGCAUGCAAAAUUGAUCAGCCGCGAGUAGUGAAGAGUUUGGAACGCUUGGCCGAAACUCGACACGAGGGCCAACGGUCAACGUCGCCUCGUUUGCGCUUCCUUGUCCACCGGCAUCUCACUUUUCGCCCCGUCGUCUCUGUUUUCUAUUCCGAGGGCCGAUAUCGAUCCAACCGCGUGACGCUGGCUGCUGCCCGCUCAUUACUUUACUUUACUACGCUUGUACAUGUCGUUUUCUUGCACACGGCAGGCAAAAUAUUAUACUUAUACGCUUCUCGCUCGAAUAUGUUACGAGAUUUCCGAUCGAAAAAUUAUGCGUCACGCUUUCAGGAUGGAAUUACCAUUUUUUAUCAUCGAGAUAUCGUGAAUAUCGGAUAAGGAUUGGAUAAAGUCGAGCAUAAAUUCUAGCAUUGGCAAGUUCGCAUAAAGAUCGUAUCCUUAAUUUCGUCUCUGCCCACUAAUUUCCCCCUAGCGGCGCACAGUACAAUCUCGCAUAAGAAUUACGUACAAAAUGUGUCGCACGGUGGCGCGCGGUUCGCGCAAAAACGAGAAAGAGUACGUGCGUUACAUGCAUGCAGCGGAAUAUUUUAUUCGCUUACUUAAUACGCCACGUAUUUGCGACUCACGCUGCUUAAUAUUCGUGGUACGAGGGGGUGGAAGGAAAGUGAGUCCGGUUUACGUAAGUGCACGCUGGCAAUCGCAUUUUCCGAGGCGGGUAGAACGAAGAUAUAGAGAUACGGAGCAUUCAAUUUCAGACUGCGGACAGAAAGAGUGAGAGGCAAGAGUAGUCGGAUAGAGAGAGGUUAAGGAAAAGAAGAGCGUAAUAGGAAAUCGGACCGAGAGAUAGCGCCACAUACCGGAACGAAAGAAGAGAGAUUUAGUGGAAGAGAACGAAAUGUAAGAGGUUAAUUGGAAUAGAUAACUACUACGCGGCGCGUGUGUCGAUGUGUAUCUUUCGUGACAGUUAGAUUUCUCUUGCUUGCCACACUCUCUUAUUCGUUGUUAAAUCAUUUGUGAAUACAGCAAAAUAUGAUCAUAUUUUCCUCAUAUGUUACAAAUAACGAUUUGAUGUUACACAUACGGCGGAGUCUCGUCAUUAACAGUUAACGGCCGUCGACUGUCGCGCGCGUUUAUUUACAUUGGGACACGGAAUAUGCUGUGGUGCACUCUGACUGAGAGAGCGGCGAGAUGCAUAAGGGGAUGUUUGUUGAAGCGAGUGGAACUGGAGAGGAUGUGAAUAAGAUAGAAAAAAAAGAAAGAAAGAAUAUCUUGAAUUUGAAUUAAAUGAAAUAUUUAUGAUCGCGAAAAAAAUUCUUAGAUAUUAAUAACAACAACAAUGAUAAUAAUAAAAGAAUGCUAACGGGAGAAUGAAUAUCAAAACAGUUUGAAUUAGAAACAAUUUCUUUGAAUAUCAGAAAUUCUAUUUUUUUUUUUUUUAAGAUGAAAGAUGUGUUCAAAGAAACGCGGAAGUAAAGAUACGUCGAAUAAGCAUGAACUUCAAUGAAUGCUUACAUUGUCAUUUACGCUGGGUAUGGCAUAGUAGUUUACAUUGAUUGCAUACUGCAGCUGCUAAGCGAUGAACUUACUACACUCUCUCUUCCCCAAUCGUCUAUUUUCUAAUAUCGGUUUCGACUCUCGUUAUAACCUAUACCACCAUCGAAUUGUUUUCUUUUGCCACUCUUUGUUUUAUACACGCAGUCAGUCAUAUUUGUUUCUCCGUCUUCACCUAUUUAUAAACUCGCCGAUACGUAUACGCUAUUCCCGCACUCAGUUGAAUGCGUUUAUUUAUUCAGCUGUUUGCACUUGCGAGCGAGCGAGUGAGAAUCAUGAACGGCUCGCGCACGUGUUAAUGGCGGUGGAAGCGUGUUCACGAAUCACGUGAUGUCAACUCCGCCACGGCAUAAUUUGCGUAUUAUUUAUGGCGUUGGUGUUGCGACUUUUCUCGAAAAAGAAUUUUCCAGGAACAUGAGAAUAGCUUAAGGACAUGAUUGUAUGAGUUUGUGAUACUUUUUUUCUUUCCAAACAAAGAAACGUAACUUCAACUUGUACGAAAAUUUAAUUGUGAAAAAUGAAAAGUGAAAAAAAGUAAGUAUAAAAAUAAACGAUUAGAGAAAACAAUAAUACGUGACUGGGUAACGAGUAAUUGAUAUCAUAUAUACAGUACUAAUAGUUUCACAAGUAUCUAAGUUUCGAGAUCAUCAAUUCACGGUCCAUCACAAACAGAAGUGUUAGUAAGACAAUUUGCAUUUCUGUUUAGAUUCAAUUUAUGUUACUAGUACUACAACUUAGUACCAUCUUAAUUUCUUGUAUAUAUUCGCCCAAUUCGCUACGAUAAAUGGAUCGCUAUGAUAUUUGCAUUAUAAAAAUUUCUAAAAAUAAAUUUAAAGUUUCUCAUUCCUUCCAUCUAAAUCUCUCAUAUUUACAUGGAGCAAUAGUAUAUCAUUUUCACUUGUUAUCAGCAAACUUUUGAAAACUUUCAACUUUCAUCUCCUGCCUCUUUCAUUCCAAUAGACAACGGACAAACUCGCUCAUAAAUUCUCCAAACGAGACCGUAUCCAACUGUAAAAAGAACAAGUCUCCGUAAAAAGCGGACCAACUCUUACUUCACCGAGUAUCUAUAUCGAACUGGCUCUGAAAUCGCGCUCAAGAAAACAGUCCAGAUGGCGCCACCGGUCGGCAAAGAACCCCGAUAAUCAGAGAUCAAAUGUCGGAAUCGGUAGUUCAUCGAACGGUCGCAGUGUUCUUGCUGAUUAUCGAGAUGCAAUCCCGGGACGGGAGAAUUGGGAGCAGACGGAAAAACGAACGGAAAGAAUAAAGGAACAGGCUGGAAAUGAGAAGAAGCGAAGAGAAGAGAGAGGCUGCCAAUGGCCAACGAACUCGAGAGGCGAGAAGAGGAAGGCGAGGCUCGAUCGGUAAAGAAGGAUCGCGACCAGUUUCUCGGAGACAAGUUGCGAGGUAUUAAGUAACUGGAAGCUUCGUGUCUUUAUCUCGAAGAGUAGAAGCGUAACGCGGAAACCUCUUCCUUGUUUCCCUUUCCGCCUCCCACCACCGCCCCCUCUCCACCUCGUUCACCUCGUUCGUAGAAUCUUCUACCGUUUGCGAGCGUCGAGCACGGGCACGAGAUAGAUUUUACGCAAGAAUCUCGGGGACGAAGCGGCGCAUUACGGAUAAUAAAGGAGAUUGACUCUAAAUUACAAAGUCCGUUGCAGACGGCCGCAUUGAAUACCUCUCAGGCACAGAAGCGUCGCCAAAUCGGUUUUACGGUCGGCAGGUGGUCCGACUGCUCUUCUGCACUUACGAUUCGUCUGCUUGUCUCAACUCCUCCCCCCACUCUCUCUCCCAUCCCAGUUGCAGCUAGCUUCGUUACCCCCACCCCAGUUCAGCCUAGUUUCUUCGCUAUUAAUUGUUACCGUUUCAACGUGGCGUGGCGCGCAGCGCACGAAGCUGGGCGACGAUAGCGCCACCGGCCUUCUUCCGUCGCGUUCUAAUUACACGAUUAAAAGAAAGUUAAUCCGCGGACGACACGCGGACGCGUAAACAAACGACGGGGAGAGACAAUCGGUCUCUCGGCGUGAGCGGAAGAACGACGACGACCGGGCGACGAGUAAUUUAACGCUCGACGAGAUUUAUUAAAAUUUUCUUCGUCUUUUUUCCUUUGGCCGGAGAGGAGAAUGGUUGUUGGAGGACGGCAUGCGGGCUCUUUCUCUCUCUCUCUCUCCCCGGUAUAAACGGUUUUUUGUAGCGAGCACGCCAGCGGCCCGGUUCUUUGUGGUAACGGCCACGAAUUUCCCCUCCGGUGCUGCCACUAAUUUUCGGAGUUAUACUCUUUUGUGCGCGCGUAAUUAUAAACACGUCCGCGCGUUCCUACCAAGUUUUCUCGCCGGACAACGGAAGCUUGUCUAACGGCGAUCUGUGAAUAUUUGUUCGUUUCAACGGGGAUGAUGAAAGGGAGAAGUUGAAAUUGGAUUCACUUGUUAAUAGAAUGUUUGUACGGUAAUAAUAUAAGAAUUUAAUAUUGCCAAGUGCGUUGAGAUUGAUUAACAGAUUUUUAGCUAGUCUAUCUUUUUCAAGAAGAAAGAUUUUGGAAUUGGUUGUUAUUAAUUUGGAUAAUCCAAGGGUUGACUAAUAAAUAAUAACUCUGCACCUGUAAUUCGUGUAAUCCGAAUUUUUAAUUUCACUUCGAUUGUCCUCACGAUAAUCCUCAUAAUUUAUAAGGCAUCUUGAGCAGCGUUGGAUAGAUUAGUCUGCUUAGCACGUAGUCGAAACACGAGCGUCUAAACGUGAGAUUGUAAGGCGAGAGGUGGUGGUGGUGGUGGUUGGUGGUGGUGGUGGUGGCCCAGUUUCGGUGAAAUGAAAUUUAUUUCAUUAGAAGCGCCUGUGACCGACGUAAAACGAAUUCUUGAGCCAUUUUCGACUUAAGACCGAGUCGGUUAAAAUUUCAAGGGAAUGAAAUUUUUUAGUUUGCUUCAUUGGCCAAGUGUUAAUUUGGCGAAAGGAUCAAAAAUUUGAAUGCUUGAUUCACCAUUAAUGAAAACGAGAGUGAUGCUUUUCUCUGCAAUUUUAAAAAGUUUAAUUUUGUUCAAUUUUUUUUUCUUCUAACGUAAAAAAAAAAACGAAUGUUAAACACUUCUUACAAGUAAUCCACGAGAGAAGAAGAAAUAAGAUCAAGGGACAUUUAAUCGUUGUGCAUGCGCGGCUAUUACGACUAGCUUUUCCAGCAAUCGUCGUAAAACGCACGACCACCAUCGUAUUGCUAGAAAUUUCACCGGAGUAGAAUCGUCAGACGCAUCGAGAGAACAGAAGAGAGUGAAAAAGAAAAGGAAAAAAAAGAAAGAAAGAAAGAAGAAAAAAGGAAUGAAAAGACCAACAAAACCUAAAACGCGUGGAAACGAGGUGGAAAGGUAGGCAAAACACAAGCAUCGUGUCUUAGCCCGAUAAAGGUAGGAUACGGAGUGGUUUAACCGCGAUGGUAAAAGUGCAGCGAGAUAUCCGCUCGGUGGAGCUCCGACGCGUCGAGACGGAGCUGAGCUUACACAAAGGAUAAAGACUAGGAGGGUGGAAGGAGGAUGAAGCUCAGAAAGGGUUUGGGUAGCAUGAAAUACGCGGAGAUGAAGAAAAGAGCAUUAUUUGAAUAAAAUAUUUGAAAAUUGAUUAUUUAAGUGAUCAAGUUACUCGAUUCAACUUUAAAGUAAAUUAUAACUGUAUGAGUA